CUGAGUCUUUGUGAGAUGAUAGGCUGGUCGUGUGCAGGGUCAGCUGUAGCAUCCUAUCAGUUUUGUGCAAAGAGGAAAAGACCUGGAAGUAAGCUUUCUAUCAGCUGUUUCCUGCAAAGGAAUUGCAAGCUAAACAGUUUUUCAAGAGGACUGAAUGGGUAGGUGAGAGCUAAAUAGACAAGUUAUUUCUUUUAAAAAUCUUUGGGAAGAUACAAAGGACUGUGAUUAUGAAGUUUCUAUGUGUUUGUAUAUAAAAUUUACAAUCCAUAUUUUUAAUAUCUGUACACAUCAAUUAGAAUACAUGUUUUUUAAAAUGAAGAAACCAGUCUUCAGAUCACUUGGGAAGUAAGAAUACAUUUCUGGAAUUUAGUCCUCUGUGCGAUUCCUGAAAUGUUCAAUCAAAGGAAGUAUACCAAACACACUGCAUACCAAACACAGCUUCUGUAAGCCUGAUGACUAUGUUUGAAUUCUUGCAGCCACACUGCAGAAUUGUUCAGUCCUCAAUCCUGUGACUGGCACUGCUGGUUCUGCAGCUUUGACCAACACCAGUGGCAGUGAUUUCCAGGGAGAAGUCAGACUAGAUAUUGCAUGUCAGCUGCUGGAGGAGAUGUUAUCAUCCAAUCCGGAAAUGGCUGCCUUUUUGGAGGAGAAUAUCAUGGGUCAGUGUGAGCCUUCAGGAAGUGAACCUGGGAGUGUCACGGUAGAAGAGAAAACUUCAGCUGGCAACGUGAGCUGUGGGAACAAUUCCCCCGAGCCAGAGGGCCCUGAUGUCCAUCUGCUGUACCUUUCCAGAAGGGCUGCUCUGCGUGGGAGGAAGCUAGCAAGGGAGAGCCCGUGAAAAUGGGCUACCUGGAAUACCCCUGUAUAUAGUUAUAUUUAUAGAUGUAUAUAGCUGUAGGUAUAUGGAUAUUUAGAUAGGUAUAUUGAUAUUUGUAUAUUUACAUAUAGACAGUACAGUUGUAGUAAUGUGCAAUAAAUUCAAUUUUUUAAACUGAAUUUGCUAUAUGUAGAUUUAUAUAUAGCCAACAGGCUGAGUGCCCCU